rnacentral:rRNA from 1 species
GAUGAACGCUGGCGGCGUGCCUAAUACAUGCAAGUCGAGCGAACAGAUGAUGAGCUUGCUCCUCGGACGUUAGCGGCGGACGUGUGAGUAACACGUGGAUAACCUACCUAUAUGACUGGUAUAACUUCGGGAAACCGGCGCUAAUACCGUAUAAUAUAUUGAACCGCAUGGUUCAAUGGUGAAAGACGGUUGUGCUGUCACUUCUAGCUGGAUCCGCGCCGCAUUAGCUAGUUGGUAAGGUAACGGCUUACCAAGGCAACGAUGCGUAGCCGACCUGAGAGAGUGAUCGCCCACAUGAGAACGGGGACACGGUCCAGACUCCUGCGGGAGGCAGCAGUAGGGAAUGUGCCGCAAUGGGCGGAAGCCUGACGCAGCAACGCCGCGCGAGUGAUGAAGGUCCUCGGAUCGUAAAACCCUGUUACGAGGGAAGAACAACUGUGGAAGUAACUAUGCACGGCUUGACGGUAACUGAUCAGAAAGCCCCGGCUAACUACGUG